GACGAACGCUGGCGGCGUGCUUAACACAUGCAAGUCGAACGAAGAGCGAUGGAAGCUUGCUUCUAUCAAUCUUAGUGGCGAACGGGUGAGUAACGCGUAAUCAACCUGCCCUUCAGAGGGGGACAACAGUUGGAAACGACUGCUAAUACCGCAUACGAUCUAAACUCGGCAUCGAGGAUAGAUGAAAGGUGGCCUCUACAUGUAAGCUAUCACUGAAGGAGGGGAUUGCGUCUGAUUAGCUAGUUGGAGGGGUAACGGCCCACCAAGGCGAUGAUCAGUAGCCGGUCUGAGAGGAUGAACGGCCACAUUGGGACUGAGACACGGCCCAGACUCCUACGGGAGGCAGCAGUGGGGAAUCUUCCGCAAUAGACGAAAGUCUGACGGAGCAACGCCGCGUGGGUGAUGACGGCCUUCGGGUUGUAAAGCUCUGUUAAUCGGGACGAAAGGCCUUCUUGCGAAUAGUGAGAAGGAUUGACGGUACCGGAAUAGAAAGCCACGGCUAACUACGUG
rnacentral:rRNA from 1 species